rnacentral:rRNA from 1 species
GACGAACGCUGGCGGCGUGCUUAACACAUGCAAGUCGAACGGUAAGGCCCUUCGGGGUACACGAGUGGCGAACGGGUGAGUAACACGUGGGUGAUCUGCCCUGCACUUCGGGAUAAGCCUGGGAAACUGGGUCUAAUACCGGAUAGGACCACUGCCUGCAUGGGUGGUGGUGGAAAGCCUUUGCGGUGUGGGAUGGGCCCGCGGCCUAUCAGCUUGUUGGUGGGGUGAUGGCCUACCAAGGCGACGACGGGUAGCCGGCCUGAGAGGGUGACCGGCCACACUGGGACUGAGAUACGGCCCAGACUCCUACGGGAGGCACCAGUGGGGAAUAUUGCACAAUGGGCGCAAGCCUGAUGCAGCGACGCCGCGUGAGGGAUGACGGCCUUCGGGUUGUAAACCUCUUUCAGCACCGACGAAGCGCAAGUGACGGUAGGUGCAGAAGAAGGACCGGCCAACUACGUGCCAGCAGCCGCCGUAAUAC